GAGAAAUUACACUAAUACAUAACAUUUAUGUAAUGAGCACUUAGCUAGGUGCAAACUCCAGCACGAUAACAUAUCUAAAGUGAAGAACGCAUUCAUAGGACUUCAAAAUGCAACACCUUAUCAGCCCCAUUACCAAACUUGCUUUAAUGUGUCAAAGUCAUAAGACUUAACCAUUGACUAUAUGCUAAAGCACAUCUGCUAAAAUUAGGCAGGUUUUUUGUGUAUUUUGAAGCCCUGUGAGUGCUUUCCUUCAUGUUGAAGAAAUAAUUGUCAAUUUUAAGUUUACUUUUCAAUCCACACUUACCUGAGCAUAAGGUAACAGGUAGCGAUUCGCAAUUACCCUUCACUACAAAAUCUGACAAAUACUGCUUUUUCAUUAAAAUUGCCUUUUUUGAGGCAAUUUUAUAGGAAGAAAUUAUUAGAAGUGGCAAGCCUAUGUUAGUAGCAAUCCUCAACCUGGUCCAAAGGACCACAGAUAUAAAGGAUAAAGUAGAAGAGGUAACCCAACAUCACAAUAAAUGUUCUGAACUUACUCUCUUGUUACUCCAUUAAAAAAACAUAUUGAGGCAGGCAUCGAAGGAUCUCCAACAGAUCUCAGCACAAUAACGUCUGAGAGAGUCCUGCCAGAGGACAUCCAGCAAGCAAACCUGACUGCAUUAUUGAUUGUCAUGUUCCACAAAGCAUUGUCCAGCAUACCAAUUAAAAAAAUGUUUCCCUUCAACAGAACACUCAUAGGGUUAUUCAUUAAAGGGAGAAUUUAAAGUGAAUUUAAUUUAUGGUCAAACUAGCCAAAUUGGAAUAGUUCUCCAAGUCAGCUAUGCUUCCGGAUCAGCUUCUUUGGCCUUAAAUUUGAAAUUCACUUUGAAUUAAUUUUGAACUCUCUUGUUAUUGAAUAACCCUGUUAAGAGUGGCUGUGCUGAUUUACCAAAGAGGCCUUGGUGAUGGUAUUUGGUAUUUGGUGGUCACCCUGAUCAAGUGGCCUAAGCGACUGACAGACUUCCAGAAACUUGUUAAUACGCAUUUUGCUUAUUGUAUAUAAAGACUGGUAAAAUGUCUUCACAAAGACGCAAGGCGGUGAUGACGUAACGACGCUCACGCCGGGAGGGGAGAGGCCGAGACCGGAGUGGAGGUGAGACGCUGAUGCCGUGAGCUGACGAGAGAUCCCCGCUAGUAGUGGACCCAGACGGGCUGAGACCGGACCGGGGAGGGCAUGCUGAUCCGGCGUCACAACACUACCGGACUAAUUUCAGUUCCCUCUACUGAGUCGGUCUGACAAAUUGUCGGAGCCUGUGGGGGAUGUUAGAACCCUCUGGUGGAGCGUUUUUUGUGAAGAGGAAGAGAAAAGGGAAAAGAAAAGGAGAGAGAAAGGGAAAACCGUGCCCUUACUAAUUACUGAGAAAGUUCCUGCAGACUGUGUAUGUGUAUAUAUUGACGACAGUGAUGGCAAUUACUGGAUUAUUUGCUUAGUUUGUUGCUGAAUCUACAUGUAUAUAAUUUGGACUUGGUUUGCCUUUCCUACUGGUUUUUAGGAGAGUUAUGGGUUCCUUGUGUCACUGAGGGGAUUCAGUUAACUUCCCAACUCUCAACUUAAUGCAGUUACCUUGGAAGAAGAGUUCCUACUAUAAUAUAUACAUUUUCUUAAAGAGAAAUGUCAUCAAAAAAAGCACAAGACAAUAAAGCCUCAGCAAAGGCUGAUAAUAAAGGCCAGAAACAGGAAAAGAGACUCUCAGCUUGUUUUUGUUCCGCAAGAUAAUCAUGAAUGCUUGGAGCAAUCAACUUUGGAGUCCUUACAUACAGGGGCUUCCCCCUCCCCUAUAAAGGCUAUAGAUAAAGAGGUAGUUACACCUACCAUUUUAAAGAAAUGCCUGGAAGACAUCUCUAAUGAUAUUAAAAAGAAGUUGAGUGAUAAAUUCUCUGAUAUGAAAGCGGAUUUAGUCACGUUAAGUGGACGCAUCCAGAAAAUAGAAGAAAGGGAAGAGGCUAUAGAAUUUCAGCUUCAGGAGGUGAAGGAGAUCCAAACUAAGAUGGCAUCUAAAGUGAAAGAAUUGGAAGACAAAGUGUGUGAUCUAGAAGAUAGAUCAAGAAGACUGAACAUAAAGUUCAGAAAUAUACCUGAGGAAAUUCCAGACGUGCAACUACAUGAUUUUCUAACAUAAUAUAUUAAUUGCUUGGGGAUUCCAACUGUACAGCAUGAUACAAAGAUGUCUCGUUAUCAUCGCCUCUUUCAAAGAAAGCAAGACCAAGUAUAUCCACGAGAUGUAAUCGUGGCGUUUGCUUCGUAUGAUUUCAGGACAGAUUCUCCAGUCAGUAAAGAAGAUGAGGAUAAAUGAUGAAAAAUCUAAAGCAAUAAGAGUCCUAACAGAUGGUUCCUAUCUAACAAGGCAAAGAAGGAAUCUCUUCUCUACGGUUUUUCCCGUGUUUGAAGAAAUACAAUUUAAAGUUCAAAUGGAAUUCGCAAUCAGCUUUAUCAAUCUGUUAUAAAGACAUAUGGAAGUCUUUUAAGACAGCGGAUCUUGUCCAUGUUUGGUUAAAUGAGUGCUAAUGAAUGUUAAUUUUUUUUUUUCACUCUUUGAGAUUAUAUUAAGAUAACCCCAGAAAUAUUAGGUUACUAGUACCAAUGGAACAUUUAAGACACUGGUAUAUUUAUCUGAGAGAUAUAUACCUUUAGUGACUUUUUUUGGUUAUGAUUUUACACGUAUUUAAAGCUUACUAUGUUGGAUCACUAAAUUAUUUAGGCGUUAACACGUGGAAUAGUUCGUAGGGGUUGAGAGUGUACACAUAAGGUUCCAAAAGGGAUUAUAGGAAAAUUAAUCGGCGAAUAAGCAAUGGUAGUAUAUUGGAGCGACUAAUAUAAUUAAAGCAAUUCAAAUAGUAAAUGAGUUAAAGUGGUGUUGGAAUUUGAGAAUUUAAGGAUGUAUGUGAUGGCAAGGGC